AAGCGCUCGCUACCAGACUUGGGUUCGGCGGUUCAACCGGGGCCACGCCCCGGGGCAUUCCGCCGGCUCAGGCCAGCAUCAGCUUUCCGUCGGGGGUAAAGGCGUCGGGAAUGUGGCUCUCCUUCGGGGGAGUGUUAUAGCCCGUCGUGUCAUACCCUUCGGGGGGCUGAGGUACGCGCUUCUGCAAGGAUGCUGGCGUAAUGGUAGCUAGUGA
rnacentral:rRNA from 1 species